AAUUGGUAUAUUUAUUUUCGAUUUUCUAAAUGCAUUCCUGUGUCCCUAUUGACUUCAACCUCAAUCAAUCAUAAUAAAAAAAAACAUCAAGUUCAUCCAACGUUAUUACUGUAAAUGAAUAAUGUAAAUUAAGAAAUUGUUGCGAGCAUUUUUUAUUGCAAUGUUUGAAGAUUGGACAAAAAUGCCAGAUAAAUUAUUGCAAUUGCAGAAUAAGCUGCAUAUAGAUUUAUGUAUCGGAUAUUUGAUUGACAGUUCUUAUUUUCGCUAUACUAAAUUAGACACACAAUUCGCUUUGGUUAAAACUUGGCUGAAAUUUCUGAAAUUACAGUACCUCAAUUUGAAGUUCUUCAAAUUUUAUUGUUUUGUAAUUGAUUAUUUUGUAGUUAAGAGAAAUAAAGGACACAUUAAGGAAUGCAUCUCAAUCAUAUUGUGGUAAAGCUGGUCAUUUUAAGCAUCGAUCAUGAUUAAAAAGUAGUCCUUACCUGAUGAGAUUUGCUCAAUCUAAGGAAGGUUUAAACUUUAAAACACUGCCA
rnacentral:lncRNA from 1 species